AGAUUGAACGCUGGCGGCAUGCCUUACACAUGCAAGUCGAACGGCAGCACGGGAGCAAUCCUGGUGGCGAGUGGCGAACGGGUGAGUAAUACAUCGGAACGUGCCCAAUCGUGGGGGAUAACGCAGCGAAAGCUGUGCUAAUACCGCAUAAGAUCUACGGAUGAAAGCAGGGGAUCGCAAGACCUUGCGCGAAUGGAGCGGCCGAUGGCAGAUUAGGUAGUUGGUGAGGUAAAGGCUCACCAAGCCUUCGAUCUGUAGCUGGUCUGAGAGGACGACCAGCCACGACUGGGACUGAGACACGGCCCAGACUCCUACGGGAGCAGCGAGUGGGGAAUUUGGACAGUGGACAAAGCCUGAUCCGAGCCAUGCCGCGUGC
rnacentral:rRNA from 1 species